UUAUGACUGUCUGUUUUUUUUUUUUUUUUGUUAAGUUGAUUGUUUUAGAUUUUUAUAUAAAAUUUUGUAUGAUAUUGUGUUCUUUGUUUUUUGUGUUUUUAACAAUUUGUUUCUUUUCUUUUUUUUUUUUGUGGUAAUAUUUUAUCUCAUUUAUGAUUUAUUUUUUAGUAAUUUAAUUUAAAUAUUGUUUUUUAUUUUGAAUUUAUUUUAAGAAUUUGAGGUUCCGUGAAAUGUUUAUUAAAGACUAAUGUUUUAAUUUAAAAUUUUCCUCUGCCCUAUGAUUUAUAAAUGGCGGCCAUAGCGUGACGGUAGUAAAGUAGCAUGGUGAUUUGUUAUUUUAUUGGUUUCUGGUAUGAAUGGGGGUUUCAUGGAUUAUUUUUUUAUUUUUUUUUUGAAUUAUUAUUUAUCUUUAAAAAUAAAGGUUUAAAAUAGUACAAAGAUAAGUCUUCGGAAACUUUUUUAUUUUUUAAUUUUCUUGGGGGUGGAUUUUAAAAAAUUUUUUUAUCUAAACUUAAAUUUUUAAGUUACUCCGGAGUUAACAGAGUAAAUAGGUCUUUAUACAGGUGUUAUGUUAAUGACUAUGCUACAUCGAUGUUGUAUAUUUAUUUUUAAUGGUAGGAGAAUUUAUUGUAAUUAAGACUGUUCUUCUUUUAUAAAAAUAAAACUUGAUAUUAGUUUAGUUCGUCGUGAGACAGAGCGGUUUAUCUUGACUAUUUUUUUAUAUUAAGGGUGCUAGUACGAAAGGAAGGUGACUUUAGUUUUUAU
rnacentral:rRNA from 1 species